CAGGGAUGUGUGCCCGAGGGCUGAUGGGCUCCCAAGGCUCAGGGCUUGGAACCCAACAGAACGCCACUCACGAGCAGUUUGUGACAGGCUAUAAGCAGAAGCAGCAGAUGUUUGUUUAAGGAGAAAAAAAGAAAAAGGAAUGAGGCAACAAUCCAGAAUUUUGCUGAUAUAAACACGAUACCAGCACUGAACACAACUGAAGGAAGACGAAAACAUCCCAAAGACAUAAAACAUCAGGCACCCUGGAGAACCUCCAGCCUACAUGCGCCGAAAUCCAUCAGCCUCGGAGAAAUGAGUGCUUAACUCCUUUUCAAUCCCCGAGAUUAAUGGUGGGCUCUGAGCGAGAGAUGUUCACCCCUCCCUGAGUAUGGACAAAGGGUACCCCGGAGCCAUGGUCAUCCCGUAGAGGACUUAAGGACACCUGCUACUUUCGGGGAUUUUUCUCUUUUGCCAGCGUGUGUUGACAAGGGCAGACAUCACUGGAGGGCACUGAGGAGGGAAAGCAGGUCAGGAGGGAUCGUUCCCGGCUGCGUACCUGGCGCCCCAAAGCUGGCACGUACCCCCAGCGGGACACAAGGAGCAGAUGCAUCAUGGCAGGGAUGCUCAUGUCCCUCUGCGGUGGCGGACAGAUGAGCCCAACCCUGCUCCUCCAGCUCUGCUGCAUUUCAGCUCCACUUCCUUGAUGCUGGAAGUAGAAGCGAAGAUGAAUAAAUAACAAUAAAAAGAAG
rnacentral:lncRNA from 1 species